UAGCCACCAUCAUGCUACUAAGGGGCUCUGCUCUCCACAGCUGUGCAGUCCUGGCCAGAGAUGCUCAGGAGGCAAUCAGCUGCACCCCCGAGGGCACCCUCUCUCCUCCUGCCCACUCACCUGCCCUUGACAGGCAAAGGAGCCCAGUGAAAUGAAGACAAUGCAAGGAUGAGACAGGCGAAGAUGAAGCAGAAUAGUGUCAAGUGCCUGGUGUAUUAAAGGUUAAUUUAAAUAAAAGACCACAGUGAGUUAGAGGUGAGGUCUCCCCCUUUGGGGCUAGCAGACAGGGUCCUGUGCAUUGGCAUUGGUUAUAUAAAUGACACAAUUUCUCUCUCUUCUGUGACUCUGUUUAUCUAUUAAAUAAAGGGGAAAAUCCUCUUGUCCCUCUG
rnacentral:lncRNA from 1 species